CCUACGGGUGGCAGCAGUGGGGGAUAUUGCACAAUGGGGGAAACCCUGAUGCAGCGACGCCGCGUGGGCGAAGAAGUAUUUCGGUAUGUAAAGCCCUAUCAGCAGGGAAGAAGAAAUGACGGUACCUGAGUAAGAAGCACCGGCUAAAUACGUGCCAGCAGCCGCGGUAAUACGGAUGGUGCAAGCGUUAUCCGGAUUUACUGGGUGUAAAGGGAGCGCAGGCGGCACGGCCAGCCUGAUGGGAAAGCCCGCGGGCCAACCGCCGGACCGCAUUGGAAACUACCGGGCUGGAGUGCCGGAGAGGUAGGCGGAAUUCCUAGUGUAGCGGUGAAAUGCGGAGAUAUUAGGAGGAACCCCAGUGGCGAAGGCGGCCUACCGGGCGGUGACUGACGCUGAGGCUCGAAGGCGUGGGGAGCAAACAGGAUUAGAUACCCUUGUAGUC
rnacentral:rRNA from 1 species